rnacentral:sRNA from 2 species
CAUCGGUCACCGCUCAAUCGUCCAUCUGGACGAACCGGGGAACCACAGAUUUCGGAGCGAUCCGAAUUGGGGUGAAUCUCGCGUGCCUUCUACCCGAUGGUGCGUGCGUAGGGCCAUUCUCUCGGCCCGAACCCGACAGCUAACUCGGUCGGCGGUAGGGAGAACUAAA